CUGUUUGUGCUUUAUUUAAAAGCUAGGUUUCCAUAACUUGUCGGAGUUAGAACCAAUAUGUUAAUGUUCUGAAACCAACAAACAAAGGCAAUUGAAGCUCCUACAGAUCAAGAACAAACAAGAAGAUCAAGCUGAGAUCAUCCAUGGCGAAAAUUUGUGACUUUUGCUCGACCUCAAGCGGAGCUGUACACUGUAAAGCCGAUGCGGCACAUCUCUGCCUGUCUUGCGAUGCAAAACUUCAUUCAGCUAACCAAGUAGUGAACCGGCAUCCCCGUACCAUCUUAUACGACUCCGGCAACUACCUCUCAGCUUAUGUUGGCUGUUUGGAUCACGGCAGCUGCGACGGUGGCAUCGAGCUUAUGUGCCACUUGUGUGACCGGAACCACCAUGUGACGACAUCCCAGGUGCAUCAGAGACUUUCAAUCAACAGUUACACGGGUUGCCCGGCUGCCGAGGACUUACCAGCAAUUUGGGGUUUGCAAGUGAAUCAUGAUCACACUAGUAGUACAAGUCAUGUGGGGAGCUUGGAUAUUUUGGGCCAGAUUCUCGACUUGCAAAUGAUUCAGACUAGUGUUCCUCUUGGACUGUGCAGCAAUACAACUAGUCAGGUUAAAGUUGACUGUGACUUUUUCCAAUGAAAAUGCGAUAGAUUCUGUUAGUUCAUUUGUUGGGUCCUCCCAUAUUCCAUUCAAAUUUUCUUGGUUCCAUUUUUGCCUUGAUCACGAAUUCAUGAUUGUCAAUCUCAAUGUCAACAACGCCCACCAUCAGGUAUGUGGGCCGUUAACACUUCACGUCGACAACGACAUAUAGUUGUAAUGACUGUUUCUGUAGCUGCGAUCUGAAAAGAUGCAAGACCAGCUUGGGGUUUGUGAUGAUGAUUCAAAUAUACCUGAUGAUGAGUAUCUAGCAUUCCUGAACUUGGAAGAACUAAUCGGAGACGAAGAUGAUCAAGAUCUUAUUCUGAGAACCCAGAAGCUGCUUGAUGAUCACGGGAACGGCAAUUAUCACAACCUAGAUACGGCGGCAGCCUCCAUGGACGGUCCGUGUGAAAGUUCUUCUAUUCCUGUCAAUGGAUCUUUAUGUUCGCCCUGCUCGUCAGUACUCUACAAUCCUUUAAGCACUAGUGUCGUUUCACAAGGUGUCAAGGGUGAACAAGUCUUUGACGCCAGAGCAAAUGCCGUGAUGAGGUACAAGCAGAAGAAGCAUUCUCGUGUGUAUGAAAGGAAAAUUCGAUACCAAAAGAGGAAAGCCAUAGCUGAUACACGUAAGCGGGUGGGAGGUCGAUUUGCAAGCAAUUAAGAAGCAAAACAUCACCGUCACUGAAGCUCUUAUAUUCGUUACUCUUUAGAUCAUAUUAUUAAUCUGUAUUUAGAUAAGGCUCUUGGCUUUCUGUAGGAUGUUCUCUACGAGGAUAUCUGUAAUGCUACUAAGCAUGCUUGAAGUAUAGAUAUUACAUCUCCCUCAAUGCAGCAA